UUACGGCCAUAUUACGACGAAACACAGGUUCCCAUACGAUCACUGAAGAUAAGCAACGUCAAGCCUGGUCAGUACCUAGAUGGAUGACCGUUUCGGAAUAGUAGGUGCUGUAAG